GCAAACUUGGUCAUUUAGAGGAAGUAAAAGUCGUAACAAGGUUUCCGUAGGUGAACCUGCGGAAGGAUCAUUAUUGAAUAUGCUUGAUGGGUUGUCGCUGGCCUCUCGGGGCAUGUGCACGCCUGUCUUGACUCUAUUCAUCCACCUGUGCACUUAUUGUAGUUCCUUUUCGAGGGUACUGAGGGAAGCGGCUUUUGUUUAGUCGGUUGAGUAAAGACCGGAUUUGAGGAUUGCCCUAUAAGGGGCUGUUCUCUCCCUUGCAGUCGUGAAUUCUCAAUGCCUUUGGUUUUGGAACUAUGUCCUAUUAUCAAUAAACCAUGUAGUAUGUUGUCAGAAUGUAUUCAAUGGGCCGUUGUGCCUAUAGAACUUUAUACAACUUUCAGCAACGGAUCUCUUGGCUCUCGCAUCGAUGAAGAACGCAGC
rnacentral:misc_RNA from 1 species